GACGGGCCCGCACAAGCAGCGGAGCGUGUGGUUUAAUCGAUGAUACGCGAGGAACCUUACCUGGGCUUAAAUGUAGAGUGUCAUUUUUAGAGAUAGAAAUUCCCUUCGGGGCUUUCUGCAAGGUGCUGCAUGGUUGUCGUCAGCUCGUGCCGUGAGGUGUCGGGUUAAGUCCCAUAACGAGCGCAACCCUUAUCGUUAGUUGCCAGCUGGUAAAGCAGGGGACUCUAGCGAAACUGCCACCGUAAGGUGAGAGGAAGGUGGGGAUGACGUCAAAUCAGCACGGCCCUUAUGUCCAGGGCUACACACGUGUUACAAUGGCCGGCACAGAGGGCAGCUACCUGGUGACAGGAUGCUAAUCUCGAAAACCGGUCUCAGUUCGGAUCGAAGUCUGCAACUCGACUUCGUGAAGCUGGAUUCGCUAGUAAUCGCGCAUCAGCCAUGGCGCGGUGAAUACGUUCCCGGGCCUU
rnacentral:rRNA from 1 species